rnacentral:rRNA from 1 species
UAAGAGGUCUAGCCUGCCCAGUGACCACAGUUCAACGGCCGCGGUAUCCUAACCGUGCGAAGGUAGCGUAAUCACUUGUUCUUUAAAUGAGGACUAGUAUGAAUGGCAUCACGAGGGUUAUACUGUCUCCUCUUUUUAAUCAGUAAAACUAUUCUCCCCGUGAAGAAACGGGGGUAUUAUUAUAAGACGAGAAGACCCUAUGGAGCUUUAAAUUUUAUUUCAUUUGCUCUUUUUAUAGCCCGCCCCGACUUCUUAUUCUUAGCUGAGCAUACUGAUAAUAAAUUUUAGGUUGGGGUGACCGCGGAGCAUAAAUAAACCUCCACGUAGAACAGGCCUAAACCUUGAAUAAAGAGCCACAACUCUAAAUACUAAUACAUUAACAUCCAUUGACCCAAUAUUUUUGAUCAACGAACCAAGUUACCCUAGGGAUAACAGCGCAAUCUACUUUGAGAGCUCCUAUCGACAAGUAGGUUUACGACCUCGAUGUUGGAUCAGGGUAUCCCAGUGGUGCAGCCGCUACUAAAGGUUCGUUUGUUCAACGAUUUAAACCCU